GAUGAACGCUGGCGGCGUGCCUAAUACGUGCAAGUCGAGCGCCUUCACGGCGCAUUUCUUUCAAGGACCGAGACAGGUCCUCACAAAUCUUCGUAGAAGAUUUGUGAGAUCAAAAACGAAGGGAUGAAGGUCUGGAAAGACCGAAAUCCAUUCAAGUAGAGUGUCUCGUCAAUGAAAUAAAGAAAUGUGGCGUGAAGGNGCGGCGGACGGCAGAGUAACGCGUAGGAACGUACCCUAAAGUGAGGGAUAAGCACCGGAAACGGUGUCUAAUACCGCAUGUGAUCUUCGGAUCAAAGCCUUCGGGCGCUUUGGGAGCGGCCUGCGUAUGAUUAGCUUGUUGGUGAGGUAAUGGCU
rnacentral:rRNA from 1 species